AAACGACGCUGCUUCUGAGCUCCGAUCUCAGUUCCUCCAAGUCCUUCGGAGCCGUCGUCCUUCUGAAGUUCCACUAUCUGUAAUACCUGGAAAACCUGUGAAGGAUCCGUUCUUUCAGGAAUCUCCAAAGCCAACCUUCAGUGAGGCAAUGGCAUCAUGCCCGAAGGAAGAUAUACCCAAUUCUAAUGAACUGCUUCAAGAGGAAAAUUUCUACCUGACUACUGAGGAAGGAGGGCAAGGGAUCUUGCCUGUAUUGGUAUUGAGCAUGAAAGAAAGUGAAAAGAAAAGGAGGCCCACUAUUG
rnacentral:misc_RNA from 1 species